rnacentral:rRNA from 1 species
UACGAAUGGGGCAAGCGUUGUUCGGAAUCACUGGGCUUAAAGCGUGCGCAGGCGGCCAAGCAAGUCAGAAGUGAAAUCCCCGGGCUCAACCCGGGAAUUGCUUUUGAAACUGCAUGGCUAGAAUCCCGGAGAGGUUAGCAGAAUUCCGAGUGUAGAGGUGAAAUUCGCAGAUAUUCGGAGGAAUACCAGUGGCGCAAGCGGCUAACUGGACGGGCAUUGACGCUCAGGCACGAAAGCGUGGGGAGCAAACAGG